rnacentral:rRNA from 1 species
UAAUACGUAGGAUCCGAGCGUUGUCCGGAGUUACUGGGUGUAAAGGGUGCGUAGGCGGACUUGUGCGUCAGAGGUGAAAUCCACGAGCUCAACUCGUGGGGUGCCUUUGAUACGGCAAGUCUUGAGUUCGAGAGAGGCGGGUGGAAUUCCUGGUGUAGCAGUGAAAUGCGUAGAUAUCAGGAGGAACACCGAUGGCGAAGGCAGCCCGCCGGCUCGCAACUGACGCUGAGGCACGAAAGCGUGGGGAUCAAACAGGAUUAGAUACCCUGGUAGUCCACGCCUUAAACGAUGUAUGCUUGGUGUUGGGGGGUGACCCUCAGUGCCGUAGGAAACCUAUUAAGCAUACCACCUGGGGAGUACGAUCGCAAGGUUG